CUUGAGUUUGUGUGAUUUUUUGAAGAUGUGUGUUUAUUUUGAAAGGAAAAGCAAUUUUUAGUUAUAUUUGAGUUGAUCUGCUUCCGAAAUUGAGAUAUAGAUUUGACUUCAUAACACAUUUUUUAUGUAUUUUUCUCGAAUUUUACAUUUCUGUACUUUUUAGACACAACGCGAAAUGUUUGUUUGUUCUUGAAGCAACUACAUACAAAGUUGAUUUUUGGGUUGUUUUAAUCUGGAUGUGUACUUUCACGUUUAAUACAUAUGCGUGCC
rnacentral:lncRNA from 1 species